GCGGGUGUAGUAUAAAGGCUAGUACGCGACCUUCCCAAGGUCGAAGUGGGGGUUCGAUUCCCCUCACCCGCU
rnacentral:tRNA from 1 species